GUCACAACAAAGUCCUCCUUUGCUUUCCUCGCUUUCUCUUUCGUUCCCUGUCUGUCGCACAGAGAGAGAGUUCAUUCCCGGAUCUCACUCUCUGGAUCCACGCACAGGGUAUGCUUCAGCCAAGUUAUUGUGCCUCCUCUAUUUAGCAAACUGGUAGACACUGAUAGAAAUUGGUUUGUGAACAAAGAAUCUUGUACCGUUAUGGGUCGCUUAAAGCUGCAAUCCGGAAUUAAGGCAAUUGAGGAAGAACCUGAAGAAUGUGACUCUUCCUACGCUAACAAGGCUACUUUAGCAUGUAUGAUUAAUGCGGAAGUAGGUGCAGUAUUGGCGGUCAUGAGAAGAAAUGUAAGAUGGGGAGGUCGUUAUAUUUCUGGUGAUGAUCAGCUAGAGCACUCUUUGAUUCAGUCUUUGAAGGCAUUGCGGAAACAGAUAUUCUCAUGGCAGCAUCCAUGGAAUACCAUCAAUCCUGCUGUGUAUCUCCAACCAUUUCUGGAUGUGAUUCGAUCAGAUGAAACUGGUGCUCCAAUCACUGGGGUUGCUUUGUCAUCUGUUUACAAGAUUUUAACUCUUGAUGUGAUUGAUCAAAACACUGUAAAUGUUGAAGAUGCUAUGCACUUGGUAGUUGAUGCAGUGACAAGUUGCCGAUUUGAGGUGACUGAUCCAGCAUCAGAAGAGGUGGUGCUAAUGAAGAUACUUCAGGUUCUUCUAGCUUGUAUGAAAAGUAAAGCUUCGGUCACACUUAGUAAUCAACAUGUCUGUACCAUAGUGAACACUUGUUUCCGUAUAGUUCACCAAGCAGGAACUAAAGGUGAGUUGUUACAGCGUAUAGCUCGGCACACAAUGCAUGAACUUGUUAGGUGCAUUUUUUCACACCUGCCAGAUGUUGACGACACAGAGCAUGCACUGGUUAAUGGAGUUAGUCCUGCCAAACAGGAGAUUGCUGGUCUAGAUAAUGAUUACACUUUUGGGAGCAAACAAAUAGAAAAUGGCAGUAGUUCUGAGUUGGAUGGUCAAACAUCCUCUGUUAGCUAUGGUUCGAGUGCUUCCACAGGUCUGGUGGCAACUGUAAUGGAAGAAAGUACUAUUGGAGGUAGUAGUGGAAAGGAUGCCCUUCCAUAUGAUUUGCACCUUAUGACAGAGCCAUAUGGUGUCCCCUGCAUGGUGGAGAUAUUUCACUUCUUGUGUUCUUUAUUAAAUGUUGUUGAACAUAUGGGAAUGGGUCCCAGAUCUAAUACAAUAGCAUUUGAUGAAGAUGUACCCCUUUUUGCUUUGGGCUUAAUUAAUUCAGCUAUUGAAUUGGGUGGGCCUUCUAUUCGUCGUCAUCCCAGGUUACUGAGUUUGAUCCAGGAUGAAUUAUUUCGUAAUCUGAUGCAGUUUGGCUUGUCAAUGAGCCCACUAAUUCUCUCAAUGGUUUGUAGUAUUGUUCUCAACCUGUAUCACCAUCUGCGUACUGAACUCAAAUUGCAGCUUGAGGCUUUCUUCUCUUGUGUCAUUCUGAGACUUGCACAGAGCAAAUAUGGUGCUUUAUACCAACAGCAAGAGGUUGCUAUGGAGGCUCUUGUAGACUUCUGCAGGCAGAAAACAUUUAUGGUUGAGAUGUAUGCUAAUUUGGAUUGUGACAUAACAUGCAGUAAUGUGUUUGAAGACCUAGCUAAUUUGUUGUCAAAGAAUGCAUUUCCAGUAAACUGCCCUUUGUCUGCAAUGCACAUUCUUGCUUUGGAUGGUCUCAUAGCUGUUAUUCAGGGGAUGGCUGAAAGGAUAGGCAAUGGAUCAGUUAACUCAGAACAGGCACCAGUGAACCUUGAGGAGUAUACACCCUUCUGGAUGGUGAAGUGUGACAACUAUAGUGAUCCUAAUCACUGGGUUCCCUUUGUCCGCCGGAGAAAGUAUAUUAAGAGAAGAUUGAUGAUUGGAGCUGAUCACUUCAACCGUGAUCCAAAGAAAGGCCUAGAAUUUCUCCAAGGAACACAUCUCUUGCCUGACAAACUUGACCCUCAAAGUGUGGCCUGCUUUUUCAGGUAUACUGCUGGGUUAGAUAAGAAUCUUGUUGGGGAUUUCCUGGGCAAUCAUGAUGAGUUUUGUGUUCAAGUUCUUCAUGAAUUUGCUGGGACAUUUGAUUUCCAAGGCAUGAACUUGGACACUGCUCUGCGGCUGUUCUUGGAAACUUUUAGAUUGCCUGGAGAAUCUCAAAAAAUACAAAGGGUGCUAGAGGCAUUUUCUGAGAGAUACUAUGAGCAAUCACCACAGAUCCUAGCUAACAAGGAUGCUGCUCUUUUGUUAUCUUAUUCUCUCAUAAUGCUUAACACAGAUCAGCAUAAUGUGCAGGUGAAGAAAAAGAUGACAGAAGAGGAUUUUAUCCGGAAUAAUAGGCACAUCAAUGGAGGCAAUGACUUGCCUCGAGAAUUCCUGUGUGAAUUGUACCACUCAAUUUGUAAGAAUGAGAUACGGACAACUCCAGAACAAGGAGCUGGUUUCCCUGAAAUGACCCCAAGUCGUUGGAUUGAUCUAAUGCACAAAUCCCAGAAAACUGCUCCAUUUAUUGUAUCUGAUUCAAGAGCCUACCUUGACCAUGACAUGUUUGCUAUAAUGUCAGGUCCCACAAUUGCUGCUA
rnacentral:misc_RNA from 1 species